GAUCCUGGCUCAGAAUCAACGCUGGCGGCGUGCCUAACACAUGCAAGUCGAGCGCGAAAGGGGAGCAAUCCCCGAGUAGAGCGGCGAACGGGUGAGUAACGCGUGGGUAAUCGACCUCCGAGUGGGGAAUAACAGCGGGAAACUGCUGCUAAUACCGCAUGACAUCGUCGAGCCUUCUGGCCUGACGAUCAAAGCCGGGGACCGCAAGGCCUGGCGCUUGGAGACGAGCCCGCGUCCGAUUAGCUAGUUGGCGGGGUAACGGCCCACCAAGGCUCCGAUCGGUAGCCGGCCUGAGAGGGCGGACGGCCACACUGGGACUGAGACACGGCCCAGACUCCUACGGGAGGCAGCAGUGGGGAAUUUUUCGCAAUGGGGGAAACCCUGACGAAGCAACGCCGCGUGGAGGAUGAAGGCCUUCGGGUCGUAAACUCCUGUCGACCGGGACGAACGCUAUUGGGCCCAAUACGCCCGAUAGUCGACUGUACCGGUGGAGGAAGCCACGGCUAACUCUGUGCCAGCAGCCGCGGUAAUACAGAGGUGGCAAGCGUUGUUCGGAAUUACUGGGCGUAAAGGGCGCGUAGGCGGCCCGCCAAGUCCCGUGUGAAAGCCCCCGGCUCAACUGGGGAACGGCGCGGGAAACUAGCAGGCUUGAGUUCGGGAGAGGGAAGCGGAAUUCCGGGUGUAGCGGUGAAAUGCGCUAGAUAUCCGGAGGAACACCGGUGGCGAAGGCGGCAUCCUGGACCAGUACUGACACUGAGGAGCGAAAGCCAGGGGAGCAAACGG
rnacentral:rRNA from 1 species